CCGCCUGACGUGACGAUACCGCAGCGCCGCGGGGCUCUGAUUGGCCUGGGAUAGCCGGUCGACCCUCCGGGGCCGGCCGGUGCGGAGAGCCAUUCGUGACUGGACCGGGGAGCGGCCGAACGAGCGCCGCCCCUCUCUUGAGACGCACCUAAAGUUUGUGGAGAAUCCGGUGCUAAAUGACUCGUAGACGACCUGAUUCUGGGUCAGGGUUUCGUGCGUAGCAGAG
rnacentral:rRNA from 1 species